rnacentral:rRNA from 1 species
UACGGGGGGAGCAAGCGUUGUUCGGAUUUACUGGGCGUAAAGGGCGCGUAGGCGGUCGUGACAAGUCACUUGUGAAAUCUCCGGGCUUAACUCGGAACGGUCAAGUGAUACUGUCGGACUAGAGUACAGAAGGGGCAACUGGAAUUCUCGGUGUAGCGGUGAAAUGCGCAGAUAUCAGGAGGAACACCAAUUGCGAAGGCAGCUCGCUGGGACGUUACUGACGCUGAGACGCGAAAAGCGUGGGGAGCAAACAGG